rnacentral:rRNA from 1 species
AGAUUGAACGCUGGCGGCAGGCCUAACACAUGCAAGUCGAGCGGUAGAGAGGUGCUUGCACCUCUUGAGAGCGGCGGACGGGUGAGUAAUGCCUAGGAAUCUGCCUAGUGGUGGGGGAUAACGUUCGGAAACGGACGCUAAUACCGCAUACGUCCUACGGGAGAAAGCGGGGGACCUUCGGGCCUCGCGCCAUUAGAUGAGCCUAGGUCGGAUUAGCUAGUUGGUGAGGUAAUGGCUCACCAAGGCGACGAUCCGUAACUGGUCUGAGAGGAUGAUCAGUCACACUGGAACUGAGACACGGUCCAGACUCCGUACGGGAGGCAGCAGGUGGGAAUAUUAGGACAAUGGGCGAAAGCCUGAUCCAGCCAUCGCCGCGUGUGUGAAGAGGUCUGGAUUGUAAGCUAGUUAGUGGUAGGUAGGUUAGUAACUUAA